rnacentral:rRNA from 1 species
GACGAACGCUGGCGGCGUGCUUAACACAUGCAAGUCGAACGGAAAGGCCCUGCUUUUGUGGGUUGCUCGAUUGGCGAACGGGUGAGUAACACGUGAGUAACCUGCCCUUAACUGUGGGAUAACUUCAGGAAACUGGGGCUAAUACCGGAUAGGAUCUCCUGCUGCGUGGUGGGGGUUGGAAAGUUUCGGCGGUUGGGGCUGGACUCGCGGCUUAUCAGCUUGUUUGGGGGGUAGUUGCUUACCACGGCUUUGACGGGUAGCCGGCCUGAGAGGGUGACCGGCGACCUGGGGCCUGAGAUAGGGACCAGAAUGCUACGGGAGGCAGCAGUGGGGAAUAUUGCACAAUGGGCGGAAGCCUGAUGCAGAAACGCUGCGAGCGGGAUGACGGCCUUCGGGUUGUAAACAGAUUUCGCAUGUGACGAAGAGUGAGUGACGGUAAUGGGUCAAGAAGCAACGGCUAACUACGUG